rnacentral:rRNA from 1 species
AAGGCUUCAGUACGACCCAGUCAGAACUAUAAGUCUCAAAGCCCCGACGAGUAGGGUGGCGUGCCGGUGCGCGUUGAAGGCCAAGACGUGAGUCAGGCUGGAGCCGCCGGUAGUGCAGAUCUUGGUGGUAGUAGCAAGUACUCUGGUGAACCAACCUGGAGCUGUGAGGUCUGGAUUAGGGUUCCAUGUCAACAGUGAUUGAACAUGGGUGAGUCGAUCCUAAGCCAACUGUGAAAGCAGUGACAUCCCAACAAAGGAGCAUUUCGUGCGCCCGACUUACACCCCCAAUGCAAAGCUCUCGUGUAUCUCUCUCUCGCACAUGCGCACGCACACACAAUGAUCACUUAAAAUAAAGUGAGUGUGUGUGUGCUUCUAUGGUUACGCUCACGAGCGUUGAGGAUAUGCUGUCUGUCUUAUAAAAAGAGAGAGAGAGAGAAAGAGAGUGGGUGAGCGUGAGUUAUUGCUAUUGCAAUUGCAUGGCUUCCUGCGUUGGUUCUAUGUCCGGCGAAAGGGAAUGGGGACUUUGUUCCUUGACCGGUCCCGGCACCCUCGAUUGGCUCUGCCAAUUAAUGGUCCAUGCAAAUGGAACCAGGCCACAGCCGCUGGCAGUCGCCCGAGGAAGAGUUUUCUUUUCUGCUUAACGCACGAGGUCAUCCCUGGAAACAGUUCGGCUGGCGAAAGGGUGCCCCGUUGCGGCAGAGCGCCACGACUGUCGUGCGCGUCUCGGUGUUCCUGCCGGUCCGUGAAGACGUGGUCGAGGGGAUUGCUAUCUUGUAUCAACGAAACGCCUGACAAGUUCGGGACGGACCGUACCCUAUAUCCGCAUCUGGUCUCCAAGGUUCGUAGCCUCUGCAGAGUCAGACACAUGUAGGUAAGGGAAGUCGGCAAACUCGAUCCGUAACUUCGGGAAAAGGAUUGGCUCUGAGGGCCGAGCUGGGCCGGGCCUUGCCUGCAAAGCAGUACCUAUAGUGACCGGAGUUUCAGGAGUGCGAGGGGCUCUAGUAGCUGCUUGUGCGUGUGUGCGUUCGCGCGUGCGCGCGUGUGGGCACGAACGAGUCCACCGCUCCGCUCCAACCACGAACGGCUGUGACGGCAAGGGCUCUGGGCGGGAGCGAUCGAUCCGUUGGCCCCCAGCUCGUCUGGGUGGCGGCGGUGCUCCGUCUGACCCAUACGGCUCCAGCGGCUAGCGGCUAACUCAGAACUGUCAUGGACCAAGGGAAUCCGACUGUCUAAUUAAAACAAAGCGUCGUGACGGCCCCUGUUGGGUGUUGACGCGACGUGAUUUC